UUGAGGAACAUUAUCACAACCUUUUGUCUGCAAGAGGGUGCAAUGGUAUCACUGUCAAACAGGAUGGCAACUCUGGAAAAGGUUUAUAUGCAGACAUGGACUUCAAAGAGGGGGAACUGGUUCUGAAGGACCCCAUGCUUGUAGGAGCUCAACAUCCCCUCAACAAGAUUGAUUGUUUGGUGUGUAGCUUCUGCUUUCGUUUUGUUGGUUCCAUAGAACUUCAA